rnacentral:rRNA from 1 species
GAUGAACGCUGGCGGCGUGCCCAAUACAUGCAAGUCGAGCGAACGGACGAGAAGCUUGCUUCUCUGAUGUUAGCGGCGGACGGGUGAGUAACACGUGGAUAACCUACCUAUAAGACUGGGAUAACUUCGGGAAACCGGAGCUAAUACCGGAUGAUAUUUUGAACCGCAUGGUUCAAAAGUGAAAGACGGUCUUGCUGUCACUUAUAGAUGGAUCCGCGCUGCAUUAGCUAGUUGGUAAGGUAACGGCUUACCAAGGCAACGAUGCAUAGCCGACCUGAGAGGGUGAUCGGCCACACUGGAACUGAGACACGGUCCAGACUCCUACGGGAGGCAGCAGUAGGGAAUCUUCCGCAAUGGGCGAAAGCCUGACGGAGCAACGCCGCGUGAGUGAUGAAGGUCUUCGGAUCGUAAAACUCUGUUAUUAGGGAAGAACAUAUGUGUAAGUAACUGUGAACAUCUUGACGGUACCUAAUCAGAAAGCCACGGCUAACUACGUG